rfam:Vibrio sp. J237 Contig_2, whole genome shotgun sequence.
UAUGACCCCCGCCCGGUAAAGGUUAGCCACCGACCGGAAGCGAGUCUUGCGUGGUGACCGGGUAACCGGCGCUGCGAAGCGUAGACAGCAGAAAAGGGGAUUUAUUUUCCCUACUCUAAAACG